AAAAAGAUAAGCUAAAAUUUCUAAGCUAAUGGGCUCAUACCCCAUUUAUGAAUAAUUUCUCUUUUUA
rnacentral:tRNA from 1 species